UUUGAAAGAUGAAUUUACAUGUGUGAAGAUAUAAAGCAUGAAUCUUGAAUGAUAUUUAUCAUGAUUUUGAUAUUUGGGUCGUGAAUCCCCAUUGAAAAUUAUGUUUUUUUGAGAAAGUGUGUGUUAUAAGCACGUUGAUGUUGAAUAUUUGAGAUAUUUUGAAUGAUUUGACCUUUUGGUCUUAAUGGAGUUGUUUUGAACUCGAGUGUGAAAGAAAUCCACAACGUGGUUGAUUUUGAUAGA
rnacentral:lncRNA from 1 species